rnacentral:lncRNA from 1 species
AUGGGCAGAGGACGCAGCGUCUUCAACGGUGACCUGAAGCCUGGGCCAGAAUGGAGGUCACAGGUAAGGACGGGGGACCUGAGAGGCCUGGGGGUCCAGGUGAGAAAGAGGUCCCAGGCCUUACCUGAUGGGGCCAGGAGGAAAGUAGGCCUCCUGGAGCUGGACCCUGAGGGCCACACGAUGCUGUGCAAGGAUGGCUGCUGCUUGGGCUGCUCCCUUCUCAUCCCCACCCUCUACGGCCCGGGUCAGGCGCCCUGCCAGCUCUUCUGCAGGGGAAGAGAGAGCCAUCGCAGCCCCACACUGGCCGCUUCCCCCAGCCCCUCCGGCCCCCUGCCUUUACCUUUCUCCAUCAAGUCUCCAGGGCUCCAAGGAAGAUCCACCUUGGGUUGGGGGGCCUUGGCUGUGGGUACUUCAUGGGGACUGGGUGGGGAGACAGGGCACGUUUCUGGGCCUAGGGCUGGGGGCAAGCUGCCUAGGAGGAAAGAUGUGGGGUGGGCUGGUGGUCUCUUUGAGAUCUGGCCGCCCACGGAGUACAAACCCAGGCCUCUGCCCUCUCACCUCAGGCUUCCAGUGCCUUUGUCUCCUCCCCUUAGCCCACGCCAGGGCCCUGCCUUGGCCACAUUUCAAGCCAGACCUUGGCUCAGUCUUGGCCCUUGCACAACACAGAGGUCCCUGCCAACUCCACUCAGAGUUGCAUUUGGCUCUUUCUUGGGCUCUGGAGUCCUUCUGGCCUCCUUUGCUGCCCAGUCCCACCUGCAGCCCUCCUCCACAGGGGCCAGGCCACUUCUCUUGGCCUGUACAAGCCCUCUCAGCCAGUCAAAAAGCUCCCUGAACCUCAGAGCAGAACCAGCAGAGGUCUCCAGGAGUCCUGCAGUCAAGGUGGCCUCCUUUCAGGGAACUCCGACAUCUCCUGGCUCUGCCGUCAACACAGAGCACUCUGGGCUGAUCCCAUUCCAAACAACCCCUCUCCAGCUGGUGCUUGUCCUGAGCGUGCCACCGGCUCCCCUUCUUACCUCCCACUUGACGCCCUGCCCAUGUGGUGCAGAUGCAGCUUCUUUGCCUCAAUAUUCUGAGCCGUCUGCCCAUUGA